rnacentral:rRNA from 1 species
UUAAGCGACUAAGCGUACACGGUGGAUGCCCUGGCAGUCAGAGGCGAUGAAGGACGUGCUAAUCUGCGAUAAGCGUCGGUNCACACUAUCAUUAACUGAAUCCAUAGGUUAAUGAGGCGAACCGGGGGAACUGAAACAUCUAAGUACCCCGAGGAAAAGAAAUCAACCGAGAUUCCCCCAGUAGCGGCGAGCGAACGGGGAGGAGCCCAGAGCCUGAAUCAGUGUGUGUGUUAGUGGAAGCGUCUGGAAAGGCGCGCGAUACAGGGUGACAGCCCCGUACACAAAAAUGCACAUGCUGUGAGCUCGAUGAGUAGGGCGGGACACGUGGUAUCCUGUCUGAAUAUGGGGGGACCAUCCUCCAAGGCUAAAUACUCCUGACUGACCGAUAGUGAACCAGUACCGUGAGGGAAAGGCGAAAAGAACCCCGGCGAGGGGAGUGAAAAAGAACCUGAAACCGUGUACGUACAAGCAGUGGGAGCCUCUUUUAUGGGGUGACUGCGUACCUUUUGUAUAAUGGGUCAGCGACUUAUAUUCUGUAGCAAGGUUAACCGAAUAGGGGAGCCGAAGGGAAACCGAGUCUUAACUGGGCGUUAAGUUGCAGGGUAUAGACCCGAAACCCGGUGAUCUAGCCAUGGGCAGGUUGAAGGUUGGGUAACACUAACUGGAGGACCGAACCGACUAAUGUUGAAAAAUUAGCGGAUGACUUGUGGCUGGGGGUGAAAGGCCAAUCAAACCGGGAGAUAGCUGGUUCUCCCCGAAAGCUAUUUAGGUAGCGCCUCGUGAAUUCAUCUCCGGGGGUAGAGCACUGUUUCGGCAAGGGGGUCAUCCCGACUUACCAACCCGAUGCAAACUGCGAAUACCGGAGAAUGUUAUCACGGGAGACACACGGCGGGUGCUAACGUCCGUCGUGAAGAGGGAAACAACCCAGACCGCCAGCUAAGGUCCCAAAGUCAUGGUUAAGUGGGAAACGAUGUGGGAAGGCCCAGACAGCCAGGAUGUUGGCUUAGAAGCAGCCAUCAUUUAAAGAAAGCGUAAUAGCUCACUGGUCGAGUCGGCCUGCGCGGAAGAUGUAACGGGGCUAAACCAUGCACCGAAGCUGCGGCAGCGACGCUUAUGCGUUGUUGGGUAGGGGAGCGUUCUGUAAGCCUGUGAAGGUGUGCUGUGAGGCAUGCUGGAGGUAUCAGAAGUGCGAAUGCUGACAUAAGUAACGAUAAAGCGGGUGAAAAGCCCGCUCGCCGGAAGACCAAGGGUUCCUGUCCAACGUUAAUCGGGGCAGGGUGAGUCGACCCCUAAGGCGAGGCCGAAAGGCGUAGUCGAUGGGAAACAGGUUAAUAUUCCUGUACUUGGUGUUACUGCGAAGGGGGGACGGAGAAGGCUAUGUUGGCCGGGCGACGGUUGUCCCGGUUUAAGCGUGUAGGCUGGUUUUCCAGGCAAAUCCGGAAAAUCAAGGCUGAGGCGUGAUGACGAGGCACUACGGUGCUGAAGCAACAAAUGCCCUGCUUCCAGGAAAAGCCUCUAAGCAUCAGGUAACAUCAAAUCGUACCCCAAACCGACACAGGUGGUCAGGUAGAGAAUACCAAGGCGCUUGAGAGAACUCGGGUGAAGGAACUAGGCAAAAUGGUGCCGUAACUUCGGGAGAAGGCACGCUGAUAUGUAGGUGAAGCGACUUGCUCGUGGAGCUGAAAUCAGUCGAAGAUACCAGCUGGCUGCAACUGUUUAUUAAAAACACAGCACUGUGCAAACACGAAAGUGGACGUAUACGGUGUGACGCCUGCCCGGUGCCGGAAGGUUAAUUGAUGGGGUUAGCGGUAACGCGAAGCUCUUGAUCGAAGCCCCGGUAAACGGCGGCCGUAACUAUAACGGUCCUAAGGUAGCGAAAUUCCUUGUCGGGUAAGUUCCGACCUGCACGAAUGGCGUAAUGAUGGCCAGGCUGUCUCCACCCGAGACUCAGUGAAAUUGAACUCGCUGUGAAGAUGCAGUGUACCCGCGGCAAGACGGAAAGACCCCGUGAACCUUUACUAUAGCUUGACACUGAACAUUGAGCCUUGAUGUGUAGGAUAGGUGGGAGGCUUUGAAGUGUGGACGCCAGUCUGCAUGGAGCCGGCCUUGAAAUACCACCCUUUAAUGUUUGAUGUUCUAACGUUGGCCCCUGAUCGGGGUUGCGGACAGUGUCUGGUGGGUAGUUUGACUGGGGCGGUCUCCUCCUAAAGAGUAACGGAGGAGCACGAAGGUUGGCUAAUCCUGGUCGGACAUCAGGAGGUUAGUGCAAUGGCAUAAGCCAGCUUGACUGCGAGCGUGACGGCGCGAGCAGGUGCGAAAGCAGGUCAUAGUGAUCCGGUGGUUCUGAAUGGAAGGGCCAUCGCUCAACGGAUAAAAGGUACUCCGGGGAUAACAGGCUGAUACCGCCCAAGAGUUCAUAUCGACGGCGGUGUUUGGCACCUCGAUGUCGGCUCAUCACAUCCUGGGGCUGAAGUAGGUCCCAAGGGUAUGGCUGUUCGCCAUUUAAAGUGGUACGCGAGCUGGGUUUAGAACGUCGUGAGACAGUUCGGUCCCUAUCUGCCGUGGGCGCUGGAGAACUGAGGGGGGCUGCUCCUAGUACGAGAGGACCGGAGUGGACGCAUCACUGGUGUUCGGGUUGUCAUGCCAAUGGCA